rnacentral:rRNA from 1 species
GAUUAACGCUAGCGGCAGGCAUAAUACAUGCAAGUUGAACGGGAUAAGUUUUAGCAAUAGAACUUUGAGAGUGGCGCACGGGUGCGUAACACGUAUGCAACCUGCCCCAAACAGGAGGAUAGCCUCUCGAAAGAGAGAUUAAUACUCCAUAAUAAUAUUGUUAGGCAUCUAAUGAUAUUUAAAGCUGAGGCGGUUUGGGAUGGGCAUGCGGUUGAUUAGGUAGUUGGUGAGGUAACGGCUCACCAAGCCAACGAUCAAUAGGGGGUCUGAGAGGAUGUCCCCCCCACACUGGUACUGAGAUACGGACCAGACUCCUACGGGAGGCAGCAGUAGGGAAUAUUGGACAAUGGGGGCAACCCUGAUCCAGCCAUGCCGCGUGCAGGAGACUGCCCUAUGGGUUGUAAACUGCUUUUGUACGGGAAGAAACCUCACUACGUGUAGUGAGUUGACGGUACCGUGAGAAUAAGGAUCGGCUAACUUCGUGCCAGCAGCC